AUUUUGGGACAGGUACAUAUACCCUGAAAUUGGAAUGAUGCAGAGAACAUUAAAAUGACCUCUGCAUGAAAACAGCAUGCAAAUGCUUGAAGCAUUCCAUGUUUUU
ensembl:snRNA U6 U6 spliceosomal RNA